rnacentral:lncRNA from 1 species
AAAAGAGUUUCCCUUAAUGAAAAAGCGAGCCGACGUAGAAUGAAGGUCAAAAGAAGAUGUGAAGAUAAUGAUAGAAAAUGUUGGUAGUCGCUUCGGAUAUGUCUUCUGGCGCCGCUACUCCCUGAUGCCAUUGGUGUCACCGGAUUACAAGGAAUGUUAAAGUUACGAUCGAUUUUCACUAAAUUCCGGUCUGCUUGUACGCCGCAGAAGUCGGGACGCCUUCUAUUUGUCACCCAGUCCCGUUUGCCCAGUCCCUUCCUUUUUUGUCGAUUGAACGCAUUUUCGGCAUCUUCCUUCUCGAUCCCCCACACAGCAGAAAACGAGGAGAGGGUAACUGAUGUGGCAACAUCCCUCCCUUUCCUCGCAGCGGAAAAAACAAACAAAAAAUACCAAGGCAUUCAAACAAACCAGCAGACCUUCGCAUUGGCGUUAACAGUUUUGCAAGCAAAAAAAAAGAGAAGCUUCCUGUACAUAGUCUUGGAUCGUAUACAGCAUCUUCGCAUUUACUGGCUAAGUAUAUCCUUCUUGGCACAUAUUUCCUUGUAGUAGUAUAACAACGGUCUUCUGCCUUACUAAGUAUAACUAUUUAUGUGUGUAUGAUACGAAAAGAAUUUGUAAGAUAUAUAUUACUGAUCAUUAAACAACCUGAGGCCUAUAAAUGAAGGCUAAACGUGUUGAAAGUUUUAAUGGCAUCCUUAGUGCAUAGAUUUGUAGCAGAAAAUCAAAAGCUAUAGUUCAAUAUACCGGAUUGAGUGAGAGGAUGCGUUCUGAUACCUAGUAUCGUCAUAGUUAUAUUGAAGACACCUACAAAGAGUAGAAAAAUUGUAGUGACUGUAUUGCUUUCAUCAUGUGACAAGGUAAGUUAAUCCACGAACCACGAAAUAGAUGUUAUGGAACUCGUUUCAGUACCUACCCCUACUAGCAAGAGUAGAUGAAAACACUGGCUGUGAAUGAAAAAACUGAAGUCUUAGUUUAAAUAAUCCUGAUAACACAAACAUGUCUGCAGCACACGUAUUUUGGUCAUUCCACCACAGCUCCGAACGAAAUGCCCUCUCACCUGAAACCUGUCUGUUUUACGAAUUAAGAUAAUGCUUGAAAUUGACUGAUACACGAGUCAGCCGGUUCUGAGGUUUCGGGUUUAUUAAUCACAAUUUCUUGCCUAUGAGGUAACAAAUUAUUGCAAUAUAACAGCAUAUAAUAGUAGUAUAUUGUAGUUGAUACAGCUUUUUUCUUUGACUGACACAAUUUCCGUUUCGUAGAUAGACCCAUAGAUUUUGUAUUACGACAAAGAGGGAAAAAAGAGGCUUAAUGUCGGGGCACAAUGUGGUUGCUUCAAAGGUAAACAACAAUUGAGCAGAACUUUCGUCCCUGCUCCGCUCUUGGGCUCUCAGCAGCUCAGCCGGUGAAUCCAGGUUUCCCCGGUGAAAAGUCCACAAAGAGGGAUGAAGAUUUUCUCCUCGAUUAGAACAUAACCCUUUAAGGGUGGUACUCCACUGAAGCGUACUUGCCUCCAUGCGUGUACUGAAAGGAGUUCCUUUCGUGUUCCAUCCCCGAGGUUCCCUCCAAGAGCCUUUUCCCAUUGGUUCGCCUCAUCGCGGCCAGAAUCUCGCUUACGUACAACUAGGCCCUACAGCCACCUCGCUAAGCAACCGACCAGGCCACCAAAGAGGCAGUCGGUGAGCCCUGAAAUUGCAGCAACAGGUACGCGUCUUCACCAGCGAAGAAAAGACUUCUCGUUUUGGCUUAUCAUCUUAGAAGGACAUCAUAACAGAUCACCGCCGCCAGGAACUCGAUCAGCCCGAUCGGAUUUUACGUCAGUUCAUUGGUAAACUUCCGAGCUUGGACGAAAUGACGGCAUUAGACCUGUGAUGUACGUGAGCUAAGCGAUGCUGGUUUCUUCCAUAAGCCAACAACCGUUACUGAGCCUCGAACGCACGCUCAUUUUCACAUGAUCAGACAACGAAAAUAUCUGUUAUUCAGUCUCUGUCAAUCUUACUAUAAAUUUGAUAUAUUUAUCGAGGA